UACAGAGGGUGCGAGCGUUAAUCGGAAUUACUGGGCGUAAAGCGCACGUAGGUGGCGACGUAAGUCAGCUGUGAAAGCCCCGGGCUCAACCUGGGAACUGCGGUUGAAACUGGCGAACUAGAAUCUGGCAGAGGGGGGUGGAAUUCCACGUGUAGCAGUGAAAUGCGUAGAGAUGUGGAGGAACACCGAUGGCGAAGGCAGCCCCCUGGGCUGAGAUUGACGCUCAGGCACGAAAGCGUGGGGAGCAAACAGG
rnacentral:rRNA from 1 species